CCUUCGUGCAUAGCUUCAUGUUCAUUUUCUUCCCCGUCUCCAGAUCCUUCCCCCAACUCCACUAACGACAUCUCCCCUGUCUUUGAUAUCUCACAAAUUAGAUCGCCAGACACCUGCCCAUCCUCUUGAACGUUAGUGUUUUCUAUUUCAGCUAUACCUUCAUAUUGUCUCUGUACUCCUCCAAUCGGCUCUCUCCCUCUCAACUCGUUCUGUUUC
rnacentral:lncRNA from 1 species